rnacentral:rRNA from 1 species
UCGCCCUUAGAGUUUGAUCCUGGCUCAGGACGAACGCUGGCGGCGUGCCUAAUACAUGCAAGUCGAACGAAGCUUUCUUUCACCGAAUGCUUGCAUUCACCGAAAGAAGCUUAGUGGCGAACGGGUGAGUAACACGUAGGCAACCUGCCCAAAAGAGGGGGAUAACACUUGGAAACAGGUGCUAAUACCGCAUAACCAUGAACACCGCAUGAUGUUCAUGUAAAAGACGGCUUUUGCUGUCACUUUUGGAUGGGCCUGCGGCGUAUUAACUUGUUGGUGGGGUAACGGCCUACCAAGGUGAUGAUACGUAGCCGAACUGAGAGGUUGAUCGGCCACAUUGGGACUGAGACACGGCCCAAACUCCUACGGGAGGCAGCAGUAGGGAAUCUUCCACAAUGGACGAAAGUCUGAUGGAGCAACGCCGCGUGAAUGAAGAAGGCCUUCGGGUCGUAAAAUUCUGUUGUCAGAGAAGAACGUGCGUGAGAGUAACUGUUCACGUAUUGACGGUAUCUGACCAGAAAGCCACGGCUAACUACGUGCCAGCAGCCGCGGUAAUACGUAGGUGGCGAGCGUUGUCCGGAUUUAUUGGGCGUAAAGGGAACGCAGGCGGUCUUUUAAGUCUGAUGUGAAAGCCUUCGGCUUAACCGAAGUAGUGCAUUGGAAACUGGAAGACUUGAGUGCAGAAGAGGAGAGUGGAACUCCAUGUGUAGCGGUGAAAUGCGUAGAUAUAUGGAAGAACACCAGUGGCGAAAGCGGCUCUCUGGUCUGUAACUGACGCUGAGGUUCGAAAGCGUGGGUAGCAAACAGGAUUAGAUACCCUGGUAGUCCACGCCGUAAACGAUGAGUGCUAAGUGUUGGAGGGUUUCCGCCCUUCAGUGCUGCAGCUAACGCAUUAAGCACUCCGCCUGGGGAGUACGGUCGCAAGACUGAAACUCAAAGGAAUUGACGGAAGGGCG